AUUUUUCUCUCUGAAACGUAAAUCCACCUCUCACCUAUCCCUUGUUUCUCCACCGCCGGUGAGAACCUUGUUGUUCCACACCCCUCUCCAUUAAAAUCGUCGUGAAACCCACACGAUACCCUUUUGUUUAUUCCAUUUCACACCACUGAACAAUGUUCAUCACUGACAUUCCUCUCCUCUCAACAAACCUCAUCACCUUCAAAGACUUCCUUCGACUUCUCUCUGAACAAAAACACUGUGUACCUCAUCCAAGCUUCCACCAUAUCAACCGCGAUUGAAACCUCACCACAUUGUUCAUGCCGUCGUC
rnacentral:lncRNA from 1 species